UUUUUUUUUUUUUUUUUUUUUUUUUUGUCUUUUUGCCAUUUCUAGGCCGCUCCUGUGGCAUAUGGAGGUUCCCAGGCUAGGGGUCUAAUCGGAGCUAUAGCUGCCAGCCUAUGCCAGAGCCACAGCAACACGGGAUCCAAGCCACAUCUGCAAACUAGACCACAGCUCACAGCAACGCCAAAUCCUUAACCCACUGAGCAAGGCCAGGGGUCGAACCCGCAACCUCAUGGCUCCUAGUUGGAUUCAGUCACCACUGCGCCACCAAGGGAACUCCAAAAUACUAGUGAUGUUUUUCUGCUAGUUUAACAUGGAAAGGAGGCUGGCCCCAGGACCCAAGGCAGGACAGUUCAUUCUGGUCAAAGACUUAAGCUCUUUUAGGAAAGAGGUUCUCCCCGGCCGGUAGUGCCCCGAGCUCUUUAGGAGUAUUUCAGAACCCCUGGGGUGGAGCUGCAGUUAGAACCAGCCCAGCCUGCACCUGGGCUCCUCCCCAGGGCUCUCAGAUUGUCAUCAAAGCCCUCGGGAUAAAUUCAGAAGCGUGGUUCCCCCUGAAUAAUUGCCCAGUGAUUUCCAAAUGCUCUCUUAACCAUCUAUAAAAAGGCCGUCUCCAUUCCGGAACACGUACACCCCGGGUCCCUCUGUCUGACAGAUCACCAUGACUGGGCCAGCCAGGAGGCCACCGUCAUGCAGCAUUUUCGCCUCCAAACCUAAAAGGCCUGGGUUCUCUGACCUCCAUGGCUUGUCCAGACCACCCACCCUCUGUUUGCAACCCUCCUCCAACCUUGAAACCCGACCCCCUCCUCUGUAGGAACCACCCAUGUUUAAGCAAAUAAAUACCCCAAAGUAACCAGCUCCCUGGUGGUAUUCAAAUAAAUGUCCCAGGAAAGAGUAUGGCGGCGGGAAGGGGCGGUACCCUGGGCCUCCAGUGCAGCUUGCCUGCCUGGAAGCAUCCUUGGGCUGGGUCUCUGCAGAUAUCGGGCCAGUGCUUCUUUCUGUGCAAGAUGAGCAAUGCGACACCCUCCUUCUACCCCCCAAACAGGGGAGGGGCUGAAGGGUUCUGUAAGUCACCUUCUGGGGAGGUUGUGGCUGCUGGCUGAGCUGCAGGGAGGGUGGGUGGUGCUCAGUCAGAGAGGCCACCCUCCCAAAGCUGUGCAGAGAUGCCAGGUAAGCUCCCAGUUCCUCAGCCGUAAGCCCUGAAAUCCCUCUGCCGUUUGGGAGGGUGGCUGGGUGGGUGGGUAGGAUGCCCCGGGGAUCAGCUCUCUGUGACUCAGAAACACUUCAAGAGAGCCCGGAGACCAGCCUGCAGUGAAGAGGGGUGCGGGGGAGAAGCAAGGGGGGACCCACGAGUCAAAAAUCUCCCUGCCUCUGACUCAGUGGCAAAAGCCACUGAGUGUCCUUGGUUUCACGGAAUGCCGACGGCCGGGAAUAAAGUCCCCGGCUCUGUCACCGGUUGGCUGGUCUACAGAGUCACCGAUGAAAAGGAUUUUCAAACACAUCUGAGAAAUCAGAGGGAAAAAGGACAAUGGCCCAAUCGCUGCUUUUACAUGAAUCUCCAGGAGUGGCGGCCUCCUCCAUCCUCCCCCAGGCGAGGAAGAGAGGGAGCAGAGGCGUCCUCUGAAGUCGGCCCAGGGGGUUGGGGGAUGAAGGAAAGCGGGGACAAGAUGGGGCUAAAAAGCUGGCCGUGCACCUCUAGUGUGUGUGUGUGUGUGGGGGGGGGGGAAAUGCACUUGGAAAAAAUAACAGAUUUCCCGCCCCCCUUUGAUAAAUAAAGCCAUGGGGAGAGGGUGAGCGGGAUUAGGGUUCAAGCUUGGUUCAAACUGGCAGCAGAGGCUGAAAAAAACCCCACAGUUUCUCCAUCCUGACACUACUGACAUGUAGGGCUGGAUAAUUCUUUGUGGCGGGGGGCCUGUCCUGUGUGUGCAUUGUCGGAUGCUUAGCAGCAUCCCUGGCCACCACCCACUCGUGAGAUGCCAAUGGUACCCUCCCCUCUGGCUGUGACAACCAGAAAUAGCUCCAGACAUUGCACAUAGCCCCCGGGGUAGGGGUAAAGGGACAACGUUGAGCCUGGCUGGGAACCAGUGGUUUCCGAUCAGGGGCACAGCUGAGUUUAAAAGUCACCUCUGGGCUCCCGGCAGGGCUCUGAAGGGCCAGAGAGCUGGCCAGCUGGAAAGGAAUGUGGCCUCUCACGCAUGUGACCAAGUGCUGGUCAUCAGUGGCUUCGUGGCACCAGGCCCUCAGCAGGACGCCACCCACCGGCCUCCAGACCCACACGCCCAGCAUCCUGUGGGUUAGGAAGGCCUUAAGAUCUGUGAGCAACGCAGGUACAGAGCUCUGCUGUUUGAAAGUUCUGGAAGAACAGUCGCCAUUGGUCUCAAAGUUGCCUUGGCCGGGAAAGGAGAGGGACUAUGGCCCACAUCGAGGAAGAAUUCUGCAGAGAAGGGACAUCUGGGAGGCCAGUUGGGGUCCACUUGGCUGAGCCGCCCAUCUCACUGGGCCCAAUCGAAACCAAGCAGGGCCCUGUGGGGCUCCUGGGCACACGAGCCAUGCUGGGGCCUCCAUUUCUUGUUUUGAGGGAGUACGCUUCAGCCUCCACGACCUUCCCGAGUUCCAAAGAGCAGGUUCAAACAGCUGCUAAUCAAGGCAGGGAGGGGACAUUCUAGGGAGGAACAUUCAAGAGACAACAGUGCAGCCUUCCUUCCGUAGGGUCCUGGUUCCUCCUCCAGGAAUCCAGAGAGAACCAUGUCUUUUGAGUUCUUCGGCAGAACUCAAACCCACAACACGUGGAAGACCUUAAUGACGUAGUUAGUCUUCAUUCCGGAAAGAGGAAUCGCCAGCUUUGGAGAACAAUGAAAGCUUGCAUCUGCCCUGAUCCUCAUCUGAGGCCCUAUUUUUCACUCCCAAACUAUAAAGUCACCUCCCAAUCUCUCCCAUGGUGGGCACAGUCUUUAAGGCAUUAGCCUGCUGUGGCCCCGUGUGCCUGGCAAAGCCGUGAACGCUAUCUUUCUCUCCUUCACCCCAAACCCUGCCUUGGAGUUUCUAUUCGGCCCCGGUGGACAGAGGCUGAGUUUGGGCCACACAAAGGGAGUUGAAGCAGGGCGGUGGGAGUCACUCCUCAAACAUCACGUUUCUCUUCCUAGACAAAGGCUGAGUAGAGGGCAAGAGAUGGGUGAGGGUUCUUCGAGACGCAGAGACCCCAUGGCUGGCCACCCACCACUCUCUCUGCCCACAGUAUUGGCUGCAUUUGACACAGCUGUCCCUUUGGUGGGGGAGGGGAGGACUAGCCAUGACCUGGAAGUCAAGUGUCCAACACCUGCCAUCCCUGCUGUCCCUCCGUGAUGUCUGGGAACCACCUUUAGUCCGGGCUGCCCGUAUUUCCAGAAGAGAAUCACCUCCUAGGUCAUUCCACACCGGGGCAGCCUAGCCAGCUGUGUCUUGUGUCUACACAGCAGCAUACACCGCAGAAGCGGGUAUUUGGUGCACAGGGGCUUUCUGUCAGAGGGACUCUGGUAUUUACAAUGUGGCUUGCCUAUCUCACUUGGCAAAAGAGUUUCGGAUGCUCUCUGCCCCAAGAUGGGCUACAGGGCUGGAGCGGGAGGUGAUGGACGGGACAGAUGGAGAGAGGUGAAGCGAAGGUGACUGGGCUGGGGCCUCCUGCUCUGAGUCUCUGCCUUUCUCUCUCCUGCCCUCCACCCCCGACUCUAGGAGCCACAGCAGCACCAGCCUUCUCCCCGCUGGGCCUGAGCUUUCCUCCUCAGCAAUCUGCUUUCCACACACACACACACACACAAAAGCUCGCGUUCUAAAUAGAGCGGAACUGAGAAUGGGCUGCAGCCCGGAUGAGGUCUUCCCUCCCUGGAGAGCCCAGCAUCCCCCGUGGAGGGCUGGUCCCCCCCCAGCGCCUCUCACUCAAAGCAUUCCUGACCCCGGAGCGCCCAACCCUGACGGCAGGCACGAAGCCGCCACAAAUGGAUUUUGCUUCUGUAGCACUUUGCCCGGGCUGGAACCCUCCCCCUGGCCGGGCUUUCCUUCUCUGGCCUCCACUCCCUGCAGGUACCUUUCGGGCAACCAGGGGACCUUAUUCCAGGCGGGGGCCAGAGGACCCCCUCCAUCACUGUCACCAUUAAUUUGCUGAGGGAGGUCGGGCGGCUUGAAUGGACCCACCUGAAUCGCAGCAUUCCCCAAACCAGGUCCACCCACAAGGACACAGCCUCUCUCACAGCAUCAGACUGUUGAAUAUUAAUUUCUAGUAUGCUCUCAAGGGAACCUGGGCACAAGGUUGGGGUGAAUCUUUAGACCUUCCUCCUCCUCGGUUCUGGAAAAGUCUAUCAAGGCUCAUCCCAUCAGGCACAGGGCCAGAGGCAUAUUUUUGGAUCCAAGCGAGGCACCCAGUUCUGUGCAGUUCACUCAUUUACACCCGCAUCCAGCAUCACUCCCAUGUUGAUCAGGUCUUCCCCCCACCCCCAAUUUUUAGGGCCAUGCUCGAGGCAUAUGGAAGUUCCCAGGCUAGGGGUUGAAUUGAAGCUGUAGCUGCCGGCCUAUGCCAAAGCCACAGCAACGCCCGAUCUAAGCCUUGUCUGCGACCCACGCCACAGUUCACAGCAAUACCAGAUCCUUAACCCACUGAGUGAGGCCAGGGAUCGAACCCCAGUCCUCAUGGAUACCAGUUGGGUUGUUACCCCUGAGCCACAAAGGGGACUCCCCAAUCAGGUCUUUUGAAUGAGAUUCUCACCUCCCCCCCCAGAAUAAGAUCCAUACCCAUCAGCCCUUGGAAGACUGGGCUGUGAGAAAGUGCACGCAUUCCAAAAGGGGAAGGGUCUCGCAAUGUCACCAACUCUUGACCCAGGUAAACCCUAGGGACCCUAUGACAGCUCUGGGAUGUCUUUGGGAGAAGGGUGUAGCCACGGCCUUCAGGAAGGCCAUUUGCCAGCUGGGGGCCCCUUGGGAAGCUGUGGUGGGGGUGACAGACCCAGUCCUCCACCCCAGCCUCUCCCAAUCUUAAGGAAUCCGGAGUCAGAGCCAUUCCAUGACUUGUCUGGGAGUCAGCGCCACGCUGCUCUUCACGGCCUCUGUGCAUCCAGCAUCUCCAAGAGCAUCCGUUCAUCCAACCAGGCAUAAGGCGAGGGAUGCGGAAAGGGAAGUGAACUUAAACAGAAGCUGAGGGUUACCCACGCUGACCACUGCCAGCUCGGGGUGUGCCUCCCCCUCCUCCAUCCCAAUAAAGGCCAGAGGGGAAGGGGGAGGAGUUUAAAAUAUGCAAAUGGGUGAGGUCCUGCGGUGCAGCACCAGGGACGCUAUCCAGUCACUUGCGACAGAACAGGAUAGAAGAUAAGAUGAGCAAAAGGGUAUAUGUACUAUAUUCUUACAUAUACAUAUAAAUAUCAUAUAUACAUAUAUAUGACUGGGGCACUUUGCUGUACAGCAGAAAUGGACAGAACAUUGUAAAUCAAGUAUAAUAAAAACAAUUUCAAAUAAAAUAAAAUACGCCAAUAGGCGCCUUCCUGACCCAACACAUUUGGAAACCAGAAUAAUCACUGUUCCAACCUGUUCCGUAUUUUUUUUUUUUUUAUCUCCAGUGACAGGUAUCUCUGAGCUAGGAAGAAAGCUUUCCUCUCUAGCUCCUUUCUUACAAUCUGGUUCAGAGCACCAAAAAAAAAAAAAAAAAAAAAAAAA
rnacentral:lncRNA from 1 species